AUGCUCGUUUAUUCACACGUCA
rnacentral:siRNA from 1 species